UGGCAUCAGUCCCCCGCGAUGCCCGCAGACAUUUCCCAUCCCCCGUCCCUAGCAGAACGCAGGCCGCUGUUACCUGGGCGCCGCCGUCCGGUACCGGAGAGUAGUGGGAAGAAGAGGGGGACACGUCUAAGUCACUCUCUUCCUCGGUCUCCCCGCCAGUCCUCGGGAAGCUCCAGGGGCCCGGUGGCGGCCACGGCUGCUCCAUGUCCCACUGGUCCGGGCCCGACAACCGCCACCGCUAACGGCCCUGGCGUGAGUGGAACCUGCUGGGCGGAGCCAGCCGCCCAGCCGGCCACGGUCGUUACCCAGAAUCCCUCUGCCGCUGGCGAAGCCGAUGCACCCCCGGAGCAGGCCUGGACUGUGCCGCCGGCGGACUGCGGGGCAUUGCUCCCAAACUAGAGUUUUCUACAAGGACAGCCAUCCUAGAGUGUGUGUUCCCGUGUAAAAACAGAUUUCUUUGGGAAGAAAGGUGUAAAUUGCAACAGUCUUUCUCAAAACUGAACGGACCGGCAAACAACAGGAAAAAGAAGCCAAAGGAGAAAAAUUCUGACCAGCUCUCCAAAGGCACACCAUUUUGGGGACCCUCCCCACAACGACUCCAUCUCCACCGGCCCACACAGAGGAACCCUGGAAAGAGCUUCCGGUUUCUGGGAGAAAGGAAGCCUCCAUUUGUGGUUAGACAUGUGGACAGUGGAAACCCCUUUGGUGAAAAUAAUUUGGAGCACCAUUCACAGAAGUCCAGAAGAAAACCUAAGUUUAUAAACUUUGAUCUUGCAAAGAAAA
rnacentral:lncRNA from 1 species